ACGUAUGGUGCAAGCGUUAUCCGGAUUUACUGGGUGUAAAGGGAGCGUAGACGGAGAGGCAAGUCUGAAGUGAAAGCCCGGGGCUCAACCCCGGGACUGCUUUGGAAACUGCAAUUCUGGAGUGCCGGAGAGGUAAGCGGAAUUCCUAGUGUAGCGGUGAAAUGCGUAGAUAUUAGGAGGAACACCAGUGGCGAAGGCGGCUUACUGGACGGUGACUGACGUUGAGGCUCGAAAGCGUGGGGAGCAAACAG
rnacentral:rRNA from 1 species